GAGUCUGUGCGGAAAGAGAAGAGUCGUGGCAGAAACGGGAACUAUCAUUUUAAAUUUUAUAUGGCAAUCAAACCUUUGACACCUGUCUUGUAAAAAGUAAACAAACUUCUGUCAUUGUAUAUUUUUAUUAACAAAAACCGCAAGUUUUAUGUAUAAAAUAUUUUCAAAACACGAUGAAACCGUACAUAAAACCACAAGAAAAAUUAUAUUUAACAUUGUUCGGUUUUGUCAGCGGGAAGAAAACGGCUAAAAGCCGACUAUCGACUUACAAAAAGUCGCGGAACGUGUUUCCGCUAUUCACGGGUAUUGAUGUUGUAUUUAAUAUUAAAUAAUUACCUAUUUAAUAAGCCCCUAAGUAACUUGUCUCCGGUACAUAAUCGGAUUGUGUAAAAGUACCUACGGUAUCUCGAAUAAAAGACCGCUAAGUAGGUGAUAUGCAAGAAUUCGUAAUCUACGUGCCGGAUUCAAGCACAUCCAGUUCCUCACAUCAGUCCCUGGUUGUUCUGAAGCUAGCUCAAACAUAAGUGACAUUGAAUAUUUUAAUUCAGACUUCGAUUACAAAGAAUAAAACUUUUUCAUAAAAAUAUUUCUUUAUUUGUAAGUUCGUUUACUAGGUUCUGUUAGUUACGAAAUUAUAUUUCAUAUGUAGCAGACUUUUCGGCGAAGUAAAAUAUCGUGAGAUGAGAGAACCUGACAUAUCCCAAUAAGGCCUAUCUACUGCACUAUUUUUAUUCAUAUUCAUAUUUAUUACUAAUAAUGUACACAUACAUUACAAGUCAAGUUUACAAUAAAAUAAAUAAAUCCCAGAUAAAAUAUAUAUCUGGGAUAUCCCAGAUAGUAAAAUUACAGUUCUAUUGCCCAAUUUCUACCCGAUCUACCCGGUUUUGAAUUAAAAUAACUGUUGAACUGCACAGAUUAGGCAGUACAUAAAUGAGACUCUAUCUUGUUUGGUACUAAAAUUACAGUUGUAUUGGGCAGAUUCUUAACUAGUUUUAGCAGUUUUGUCAAUCGCACUGUCACUUUUUAGUAUCUGAGACAUAAAAACAAGAGUGUGUUUUAAAAAGAAAACUAGUGCCUGCGCUAAAUCAGAGGAUUGAUUUGACGAGCCGACACCACCACCAGGCUCCGUUUAGUAAGCCGUGGUAAAAAACCGGAACAAAAGGGAUACAAGUAUCAUGACCUUUAGUGUCGUACUAUAAUCACGUGACCAGUGUUGUCAGCAUAGCAAAAACCAUAAAAUAGCACUGGCGCGCCCUCAAAUCCCACGACUCUUCUCUUUCCGCACAGACUCUAUUUGCAAAAGCUACUUA